AGGAUUAUCUGUUAGGAAUGGAGCCUGUAAACAGAAGAAAGUUGUUCUUGUUGCGGACAAUGAUGAUCCUGGUUCUGGCCUUUUAUCUAGUGUUCACGAACCGGGACAUGUCCUAGGCUCCCCUCAUGAUGGCAGCGAGACCUCAAAAAAUUGCCCAGCAAAUGGUGUAUAUAUAAUGAACCCGACUCUUUAUAAACAAAAACCUGUGUUCUCAGAAUGCAGCAAGGCAGCAAUGAAGAAAUUUUUGGCCUCUCGCGAUGCCAGCUGUCUGUUCCGCCGUCGAUGUCCAGAACCUGCCAGAACGGAGACACGCACUGCUGCUGAGCAACAAGACGAGGAGCUGAGAAAUAGCCAGUGCUUGAGCAAAGUUCGCGAAAACGAGGAGUUUUUGAAUGCUACGGUGAUUUCCUCGUGCAUAUUGAGUUGCUACGUAAUCUUGCUGGAAACGAAAGAGGUGGCAUCGUUCGAUAGAAGUGCUCCCGACGGGAUGCGCUGCGACGAAAAU